GUCGAGCGAACGGACGAGAAGCUUGCUUCUCUGAUGUUAGCGGCGGACGGGUGAGUAACACGUGGAUAACCUACCUAUAAGACUGGGAUAACUUCGGGAAACCGGAGCUAAUACCGGAUAAUAUUUUGAACCGCAUGGUUCAAAAGUGAAAGACGGUCUUGCUGUCACUUAUAGAUGGAUCCGCGCUGCAUUAGCUAGUUGGUAAGGUAACGGCUUACCAAGGCAACGAUGCAUAGCCGACCUGAGAGGGUGAUCGGCCACACUGGAACUGAGACACGGUCCAGACUCCUACGGGAGGCAGCAGUAGGGAAUCUUCCGCAAUGGGCGAAAGCCUGACGGAGCAACGCCGCGUGAGUGAUGAAGGUCUUCGGAUCGUAAAACUCUGUUAUUAGGGAAGAACAUAUGUGUAAGUAACUGUGCACAUCUUGACGGUACCUAAUCAGAAAGCCACGGCUAACUACGUGCCAGCAGCCGCGGUAAUACGUAGGUGGCAAGCGUUAUCCGGAAUUAUUGGGCGUAAAGCGCGCGUAGGCGGUUUUUUAAGUCUGAUGUGAAAGCCCACGGCUCAACCGUGGAGGGUCAUUGGAAACUGGAAAACUUGAGUGCAGAAGAGGAAAGUGGAAUUCCAUGUGUAGCGGUGAAAUGCGCAGAGAUAUGGAGGAACACCAGUGGCGAAGGCGACUUUCUGGUCUGUAACUGACGCUGAUGUGCGAAAGCGUGGGGAUCAAACAGGAUUAGAUACCCUGGUAGUCCACGCCGUAAACGAUGAGUGCUAAGUGUUAGGGGGUUUCCGCCCCUUAGUGCUGCAGCUAACGCAUUAAGCACUCCGCCUGGGGAGUACGACCGCAAGGUUGAAACUCAAAGGAAUUGACGGGGACCCGCACAAGCGGUGGAGCAUGUGGUUUAAUUCGAAGCAACGCGAAGAACCUUACCAAAUCUUGACAUCCUUUGACAACUCUAGAGAUAGAGCCUUCCCCUUCGGGGGACAAAGUGACAGGUGGUGCAUGGUUGUCGUCAGCUCGUGUCGUGAGAUGUUGGGUUAAGUCCCGCAACGAGCGCAACCCUUAAGCUUAGUUGCCAUCAUUAAGUUGGGCACUCUAAGUUGACUGCCGGUGACAAACCGGAGGAAGGUGGGGAUGACGUCAAAUCAUCAUGCCCCUUAUGAUUUGGGCUACACACGUGCUACAAUGGACAAUACAAAGGGCAGCGAAACCGCGAGGUCAAGCAAAUCCCAUAAAGUUGUUCUCAGUUCGGAUUGUAGUCUGCAACUCGACUACAUGAAGCUGGAAUCGCUAGUAAUCGUAGAUCAGCAUGCUACGGUGAAUACGUUCCCGGGUCUUGUACACACCGCCCGUCACACCACGAGAGUUUGUAACACCCGAAGCCGGUGGAGUAACCUUUUAGGAGCUAGCCG
rnacentral:rRNA from 1 species